UGCUCGGUAGCUUAGUUGGUAAAGCGCUCGUCUAGCAUACAAGAGUCCUGGGUUCGAAUCCCAGCCGAGCAC
rnacentral:tRNA from 2 species